ensembl:miRNA MIR4724 microRNA 4724
ACGCAAAAUGAACUGAACCAGGAGUGAGCUUCGUGUACAUUAUCUAUUAGAAAAUGAAGUACCUUCUGGUUCAGCUAGUCCCUGUGCGU